UACGUAGGGGGCUAGCGUUGUCCGGAUUUAUUGGGCGUAAAGAGCGUGUAGGCGGCCAUGUAGGUCCGGUGUGAAAACUCGAGGCUUAACCUCGAGAUGUCAUCGGAAACCAUUUGGCUAGAGUCCGGAAGAGGAGAGUGGAAUUCCUGGUGUAGCGGUGAAAUGCGCAGGUAUCAGGAAGAACACCAAUGGCGAAAGCAGCUCUCUGGGACGGUACUGACGCUGAGACGCGAAAGCGUGGGGAGCGAACAGG
rnacentral:rRNA from 1 species